rnacentral:rRNA from 1 species
UACGUAGGGGGCAAGCGUUGUCCGGAAUGACUGGGCGUAAAGCGCGCGCAGGCGGUUUUUCACGUCUGGGGUGAAAGCCCGGGGCUCAACCCUGGGAUGGCCUUGGAAACGGGAAGACUUGAGGGUCGGAGAGGUCAGGGGAAUUCCACGUGUAGCGGUGAAAUGCGUAGAGAUGUGGAGGAAUACCAGUGGCGAAGGCGCCUGACUGGACGAAACCUGACGCUGAGGCGCGAAGGCGUGGGGAGCAAACAGG